rnacentral:misc_RNA from 1 species
ACCCAGUGAAAAGCUCCAAUACUGAAAGGAAAAAAUAGAAAAUUACAUCAUAUCAAGGAGUCUAAACUUUAUAUAGAACAAGUGAUCCAUCACAUGUAAACUUUUAGUUAAAAAGUAUGCCCACUAACAAACUUUAAAUGUUUCAAGCACAUACACCACUGAACUUUUUUUCUAUCCAUUGGAUUAUCAAACUAGCACAACUUCUAAACAUAGAAAUUCAUCUCUUUUUUUUUUAUUGGCUUUAAAUUUGAUAUAUUUACAGUUUUUA